AGAGUUUGAUCCUGGCUCAGAUUGAACGCUGGCGGCGUGCCUAACACAUGCAAGUCGAGCGGUAACAGGUGUAGCAAUACAUGCUGACGAGCGGCGAACGGGUGAGUAAUGCAUUGGAAUCUUCCCAGUAGUGGGGAAUAACCAGUCGAAAGAUUGGCUAAUACCGCAUACGUCUGUAAAGGGAAAGCGGGGGCUCGUAAGACCUCGCGCUAUUGGAUGAGCCAAUGUCGGAUUAGCUAGUUGGUGGGGUAAUGGCCUACCAAGGCGACAAUCCGUAGCUGGUCUGAGAGGACGACCAGCCACACCGGAACUGAGACACGGUCCGGACUCCUACGGGAGGCAGCAGUGGGGAAUAUUGGACAAUGGGGGAAACCCUGAUCCAGCGACGCCGCGUGUGUGAAGAAGGCCUGCGGGUUGUAAAGCACUUUUAGUGGGGACAAAAAGCUACGGACUAAUAUUCUGUGGUCUUGAUUUAACCCAAAGAAAAAGCACCGGCUAACUCUGUGCCAGCAGCCGCGGUAAUACAGAGGGUGCGAGCGUUAAUCGGAAUUACUGGGCGUAAAGCGCGCGUAGACGGUUUUGUAAGUCAGAUGUGAAAUCCCUGGGCUCAACCUGGGAACUGCAUUUGAUACUGCAUGGCUAGAGUAUCGAAGAGGGAAGUGGAAUUUCCGGUGUAGCGGUGAAAUGCGUAGAUAUCGGAAGGAACACCAGUGGCGAAAGCGACUUCCUGGUCGAAUACUGACGUUCAUGUGCGAAAGCGUGGGGAGCAAACAGGAUUAGAUACCCUAGUAGUCC
rnacentral:rRNA from 1 species